rnacentral:rRNA from 1 species
CAGCAGCCACGGGAAUACAGAGGGUGCAAGCGUUAAUCGGAAUUACUGGGCGUAAAGCGCGCGUAGGUGGUUCGCCAAGUUGGAUGUGAAAUCCCCGGGCUCAACCUGGGAACUGCAUCCAAAACUGGCGAGCUAGAGUAUGGUAGAGGGUGGUGGAAUUUCCUGUGUAGCGGUGAAAUGCGUAGAUAUAGGAAGGAACAUCAGUGGCGAAGGCGACCACCUGGACUGAUACUGACACUGAGGUGCGAAAGCGUGGGGAGCAAACAGGAUUAGAGACCCCUGUAGUCCCUGUCUCUUAUAC